rnacentral:lncRNA from 1 species
UUUUUAGGUCUUGGUUUUCUGAUGAGUGGCUUCCUGAGCAUGCCUAGGGAAUGACAGGCAUCUCUGCAGGCAGGCUGAACCCACCUUGGCUUGCGCGUAGUCAUUGGCUGCCUAUUAGAAUAAAUUGAGGACAAUGCAUACCGCUGCCUGCCAAUUGUAAACAUAAGGGAUAUGUAUUCACUUAGCAUUGACUUUUGGGAGGGGCCAAGGAAAGGCUGUAGUUUUAUUGAAUAGGGCUGUGUGUGAGGCUGCUGGUGUGCCUUUCUCGCUGCGCUCCUGCCCAAGCAGCCGGUUAUUCACUUCCUUCCUACUAGCUGAAAACUUUGCAGCCGCAGAGUGAUCACCUCUCGUUUCUGGAGUCGUCAUUUUGAAUUAAUCAGUAGCUGGUUUGUUCCUGAAAGGAUCAGAAUAUUUCCU